rnacentral:rRNA from 1 species
GACGAACGCUGGCGGCGUGCUUAACACAUGCAAGUCGAACGGAAAGGCCCUGCUUUUGUGGGGUGCUCGAGUGGCGAACGGGUGAGUAACACGUGAGUAACCUGCCCUUGACUUUGGGAUAACUUCAGGAAACUGGGGCUAAUACCGGAUAGGAGCUCCUGCUGCAUGGUGGGGGUUGGAAAGUUUCGGCGGUUGGGGAUGGACUCGCGGCUUAUCAGCUUGUUGGUGGGGUAGUGGCUUACCAAGGCUUUGACGGGUAGCCGGCCUGAGAGGGUGACCGGCCAAAUGGGGGGGGAGAUGGGGCCAGGAACCAGAGGGGGGGAAGGGGGGGGGAAGUUGCAAAAGGGGGGGGGGGCUGUGUGAGGCAGCGCCGGGGGGGGGAGGGGGGCUUGCGGUUGGUAACCCCUUUGCGCGGGUGAGGGGGGGGGAGGGAGGGAAAGGGAAAAAGAGGCCCCGGCAAACUAGGUC